UUAUUUCAUAAUAUGUAUUAACAAUUUACAAGUUCAGCAUACAGAUUUUUUUGUCGAGUAAAACCGGAACCUUUUAGAUUAAUUGUGCUACUUUGUUUUUGUUCCCUCUAUUUAUUUUUUUAACCACGUGAGAUGGUCUAACAAAUGUUCGGCUCUUGUUUCAUCCACAAAGUUUUCUUCCGUUAUGUAUUCAACUCAAGAAUUGUAACUCUUUCCUGAUCGUACUGUAACUCAGUUGCUAUUCAAAGAUGUCAGAAACGCCGCAGAAUUUAGGAAAAAUGUAAUGGAAGGAAAGAUUAAUGGUGCCUUGAUAAACCCGUCUAUGAUUUCAGAGGCUUUCAAGAGGUUUGGGAUAUCAGACAGUGAUGGUGCUCUUCUCAUAGUUCUGGUCCAUCCCAAAGAGGAGACGCAGCACAUGAGUGACAUCAUUGCCAAGGUGGACGGACAACAGAUUCCAGUUGAAGAUGUCUCCAUGUUGACCGACCCUGCUAAGAUCAAAAAGGUAGGGCGGCAGGUAGCCUAGUGCGUUGGACUUGUAACCGAAAGGUUGCAAGAUCGAAUCCCCGAGCUGACAAGGAUGGCAACCAAAGAUGUCAUGUAGCUCAACAAGAAGACAUGGCAGUAAAUGGAAUGUUCUAUCAUUUGUUUUGUUGCACAAUGUCAUAAAACAAAUGUUUUCCUCCUUGAAUAUGUUAUUAAACAUGUGCAUUUUUAUUUUU